GAUGAACGCUGGCGGUGUGCCUAAUACAUGCAAGUCGAACGAAGCCCUCGGGCUUAGUGGCGGACGGGUGAGUAACACGUUGGUACCUACCCCGAAGUGGGGAAUAACUGCCCGAAAGGGUGGCUAAUACCGCAUAAUACCGCAAGGUUAAAGCAGUAAUGCGCUUCGGGAGGGGCCUGCGUCCCAUUAGCUUGUUGGUAGCGUAAUGGACUACCAAGGCGACGAUGGGUAGCUGGAUCGAGAGGUUGACCAGCCACACUGGGACUGAGAUACCGGCCCCGACUCCUACGGGAGGCAGCAGUGAGGAAUCUUCCGCAAUGGACGAAAGUCUGACGGANCAACGCCGCGUGCAGGAUGACGGCC
rnacentral:rRNA from 1 species